rnacentral:rRNA from 1 species
GCUUGUCUCAAAGAUUAAGCCAUGCAUGUCUAAGUGUAAAUAAGUCUAUACUGUGAAACUGCGAAUGGCUCAUUAAAUCAGUUAUCGUUUAUUUGAUGAUCUCUUACUACUUGGAUAACCGUAGUAAUUCUAGAGCUAAUACAUGCACAAAAUCCCGACUUACGAAGGGAUGUAUUUAUUAGAUUCAAACCAACACUUUUUGGUGAUUCAUAAUAACUUGUCGAACCUCAUGCCUUUAUGGUGGAGGUGAUUCAUUCAAAUUUCUGCCCUAUCAGCUUUGGAUGGUAGGGUAUUGGCCUACCAUGGCUUUAACGGGUAACGGAGAAUUAGGGUUCGAUUCCGGAGAGGGAGCCUGAGAAAUGGCUACCACAUCCAAGGAAGGCAGCAGG